UACGUAGGGCGCAAGCGUUGUCCGGAAUUAUUGGGCGUAAAGAGCUCGUAGGCGGUCUGUUGCGUCCGCUGUGAAAACUCGGGGCUUAACCCCGAGCCUGCAGUGGAUACGGGCAGACUAGAGGUAGGUAGGGGAGAAUGGAAUUCCCGGUGUAGCGGUGAAAUGCGCAGAUAUCGGGAGGAACACCGGUGGCGAAGGCGGUUCUCUGGGCCUGUUCUGACGCUGAGGAGCGAAAGCGUGGGGAGCGAACAGG
rnacentral:rRNA from 1 species